CAAUAGCGUAUAUUAAAGUUGUUGCAGUUAAAAAGCUCGUAGUUGAAUUUCUGUCAGGAGUGACCGGGCCUUUGGAUGAACUUCCAUUGUUUUUUGCUCUGUUUGCCAUCUCUAGACAUCCUGAAAUAUUUUUUAAAAAUAUUUCUCUUUUACUGUUAGCAAAAUAGAGUGUUCCAAGCAAAGCGUAGUUUUGAAUACAUUAGAAUGGAAUAAUAAGAUAGGACUUUGGUGCUAUUUUGUUGGUUUGCACACCAAGGUAAUGAUUAAUAGGGACAGUUGGGGGUAUUCGUAUUUAAUUGUCAGAGGUGAAAUUCUUGGAUUUAUGAAAGACGAACUACUGCGAAAGCAUUUACCAAGGAUGUUUUCAUUAA
rnacentral:rRNA from 1 species